rnacentral:other from 1 species
UAUAGCCUGAAAUGUUCGGAGUAUCCUAUAAUUUUGAACCUACAGUGACAUAAGGGAGUUUGGAGUUUGGAAGCAUGAUGUCAGGCCGCAAGUUAAUUCCGACAUAUAUCUUUAGAUAUGUGCAACGGCAGCGGAAGGCUGAGGCUUUCAACAGGACACCCACCUAGCUUGGGCUAGGUGUCAAAAUAUAGGUGAACGGCAUUUUGGGUACAAA